GUGAGCCGCAGGCGCAGAGCCCAAGUGAGCAAACCAGCAGUAGUCACAGCUCUGUAAUUACGAGCUAACUCAACACAAAAUUAAAUUAAGAUCACAAUUAAGUAGAUAUAUGCUUGAAUAUUUCUUAAUUCCAUCUUGUAACAUUUUUAGUUUUUUUUUACACUGCUCGUGUAAAAGGGACUGUAAAUACACUUAGAUGAGUGAACUAAUUAAUACAACUUGGUUACUACU
rnacentral:sRNA from 1 species